AGAGUUUGAUCCUGGCUCAGAACGAACGCUGGCGGCGUGUUUAAGACAUGCAAGUCGCACGGGAUUGGAUGAGUAGUAAUACGAUUCCAGUCUAGUGGCGCACGGGUGAGUAACACGUGAAUUACAUGCCCUUCAGUGGGGAAUAGCCCAGGGAAACUUGGAUUAAUACCCCAUGGUAUCGCAAGAUUAAAGGUGGCCGCAAGGCUGUCGCUGAAGGAUUGGUUCGCGCCCUAUCAGCUUGUUGGCGGGGUAACGGCCCACCAAGGCUACGACGGGUACCUGGUCUGAGAGGACGAUCAGGCACACUGGAACUGAGACACGGUCCAGACACCUACGGGUGGCAGCAGUCGAGAAUAAUUCACAAUGGGGGCAACCCUGAUGGUGCAACGCCGCGUGGAGGAUGACGGUCUUCGGAUUGUAAACUCCUGUCAUCUGGGAGUAAGACCUGGCGAUGAAUAGUCGACAGGGUUGAUAGUACCAGAAGAGGAAGGGACGGCUAACUUCGUGCCAGCAGCCGCGGUAAUACGAAGGUCCCAAGCGUUGUUCGGAAUCACUGGGCGUAAAGGGAGCGUAGGCGGCGUGGUAAGUCAGAUGUGAAAUCCCGGGGCUCAACCCCGGAACUGCAUCCGAUACUGCCAUGCUAGAGGAUUGGAGAGGUAGCUGGAAUUCUUGGUGUAGCAGUGAAAUGCGUAGAGAUCAAGAGGAACACUCGUGGCGAAAGCGAGCUACUGGACAAUUCCUGACGCUGAGGCUCGAAGGCUAGGGUAGCGAAAGGGAUUAGAUACCCCUGUAGUCCUAGCAGUAAACGGUGCACGCUUGGUGUGAGGGGAAUCGACCCCCCUUGUGCCGGAGCUAACGCGUUAAGCGUGCCGCCUGGGAAGUACGGUCGCAAGACUAAAACUCAAAGGAAUUGACGG
rnacentral:rRNA from 1 species